rnacentral:tRNA from 2 species
GCGAGGGUGGCGGAACUGGCAGACGCACUGGACUUAGGAUCCAGUGGCCCCAAAACGGCCGUGGGGGUUCGAGUCCCCCCCCUCGCA